GUACACUCCUACGGGAGGCAGCAGUGGGGAAUAUUGCACAAUGGGCGCAAGCCUGAUGCAGCCAUGCCGCGUGUAUGAAGAAGGCCUUCGGGUUGUAAAGUACUUUCAGCGGGGAGGAAGGCGAUAAGGUUAAUAACCUUGUUGAUUGACGUUACCCGCAGAAGAAGCACCGGCUACCUCCGUGCCAGCAGCCGCGGUAAUACGGAGGGUGCAAGCGUUAAUCGGAAUUACUGGGCGUAAAGCGCACGCAGGCGGUCUGUCAAGUCGGAUGUGAAAUCCCCGGGCUCAACCUGGGAACUGCAUUCGAAACUGGCAGGCUAGAGUCUUGUAGAGGGGGGUAGAAUUCCAGGUGUAGCGGUGAAAUGCGUAGAGAUCUGGAGGAAUACCGGUGGCGAAGGCGGCCCCCUGGACAAAGACUGACGCUCAGGUGCGAAAGCGUGGGGAGCAAACAGGAUUAGAAACCCUUGUAGUCCCAUGAU
rnacentral:rRNA from 1 species